CGCAAUGGGCGAAAGUCUGACGGAGCGACGCCGCGUGCAGGAUGAAGUCCUUCGGGAUGUAAACUGCUUUUAUAGGGGAGGAAGUCUAUUGACGUUACCCUAAGAAUAAGAGGUUGCUAAACUCGUGCCAGCAGCAGCGGUAAUACGAGUGCCUCAAGCGUUAUCCGGAAUCAUUGGGCGUAAAGGGUGUGUAGGUGGUCGCAUUAGUCUUUUGUUAAAACCUCGGGCUUAACCCGAGAUCUGCAAAAGAAACGGUGCGACUUGAGGAUGCAAGGGGUCUGCGGAACUCAUAGUGUAGCGGUGAAAUGCGUUGAUAUUAUGGGGAACACCAAAAGCGAAGGCAGCAGACUAGGGCACUCCUGACUCUAAACACGAAAGCGU
rnacentral:rRNA from 1 species